rnacentral:lncRNA from 1 species
UGAAUUCAUUCAAGAAAUACGAUAGACAUUCUCAUUAAUGAAGUAAUACCUUAUGUAAAAUAUAGUAUGUGAUCUACUUGCAGUUAAGUAAAGUGAUAAGUUGAAUACCUCUGAGACUUGACAUUUCAGUUGAUGUAUCUUUCUUGUACUGAUCAAGUCCAGUGGUUGUUGGCAUAAGUCUUGGCAGGUCUAGAAUCUUCCAAAAUGCGCAUAUUCAAAAGAUCCUUGACUUCCUUUUAUUGCCAUCAUUCUUUAGGCUAACUAGUAGACCAU